rnacentral:rRNA from 1 species
GAUGAACGCUGGCGGCGUGCCUAAUACAUGCAAGUCGAGCGAACAGACGAGGAGCUUGCUCCUCUGACGUUAGCGGCGGACGGGAGAGUAACACGUGGAUAACCUACCUAUAAGACUGGGAUAACUUCGGGAAACCGGAGCUAAUACCGGAUAAUAUAUUGAACCGCAUGGUUCAAUAGUGAAAGACGGUUUUGCUGUCACUUAUAGAUGGAUCCGCGCCGCAUUAGCUAGUUGGUAAGGUAGCGGCUUACCAAGGCAACGAUGCGUAGCCGACCUGAGAGGGUGAUCGGCCACACUGGAACUGAGACACGGUCCAGACUCCUACGGGAGGCAGCAGUAGGGAAUCUUCCGCAAAGGGCGAAAGCCUGACGGAGCAACGCCGCGUGAGUGAUGAAGGUCUUCGGAUCGUAAAACUCUGUUAUUAGGGAAGAACAAAUGUGUAAGUAACUAUGCACGUCUUGACGGUACCUAAUCAGAAAGCCACGGCUAACUACGUG